rnacentral:tRNA from 1 species
GGGGGUGUAGCUCAGCUGGCUAGAGUAUUUGCAUGGCAUGCAAAGGGUCGUGGGUUCGACUCCCAUCACCUCCACCA